CGCCCAAUCGCUGGAGCAGUUGCGGCCUUAUGCGCCGCAGCUGGAAGUUGAGCAUUUCACCGAGUUGCGCGCCUGGUUGGGCGG
rnacentral:tRNA from 1 species